AAUCAACGCUGGCGGCGUGCCUCAGACAUGCAAGUCGAACGAUUAAACUUUCCUUCGGGAAAGAUAUAAAGUGGCGCACGGGUGAGUAACACGUAGAUAAUGUACCUUUGGGUGGGGAAUAACAGUCGGAACGACUGCUAAUACCGCAUAAUGCAGCGGCAUCGCAAGAUGACAAUUGUUAAAGACGAGCAAUCGCGCCUAAAGAGCAGUCUGCGGCAGAUUAGGUAGUUGGUAAGGUAAUGGCUUACCAAGCCUGCGAUCUGUAACCGACCUGAGAGGGUGGUCGGUCACACUGACACUGAAUAACGGGUCAGACUCCUACGGGAGGCAGCAGUCGGGAAUUUUGGGCAAUGGGCGAAAGCCUGACCCAGCAACGCCGCGUGAAGGACGAAGUCUUUC
rnacentral:rRNA from 1 species